rnacentral:lncRNA from 1 species
UCGAAGCUUUGAAACUCCAUGGUCUUUUAUCUACUCCUAAAUUCUUGGCUAAGUUCACAAAGAUUUUAUGUAUGAUCUUUGGCUUAUUCUUCAAACCAUAAUCGAUGAAUGAAAUUCACUCGACCACUUAUCUCGAUGCUGAAAUUGUAGUAUAUGAUUAACUCGACCUGAACCUCCUGGCGAAAACAUCUCACUGUACCAACUCCGUAAACUGAAUCUUCAAUCGGUCCCAUACCUUGCGUAGAAAAUACUACUUCUUGAACUCUUGAAAUCUGUCCAACCCAAUC